CAACCCAAGAGCUUGACAAUGGUCGAGUUUUGGUUUUGUUUAUUUAAAUUGUGUUACGUGCUUAACAUGAGCAAUCAGCAGAUUGCAGCUAAGCGCUGAGCUCCACUGGGCCCGACUUGUUGCCAGCAAGUAAAUGGGUUCCUGUUUGGUCCGUGAAGCGUAGCUGCUAUACAGACGUGCGCCAGUGUAAGACAAAAUGCGCAAAGCCCCCAACGGAAGUAUAUAAUACAUCAAAGAAAAGUGGCCAUUGGCUUAUUCAUCGGCAAUAAACUGGGCGUCAAAUACACCAUUGACUUGGAAGACUCCGAUCGAGC